rnacentral:rRNA from 1 species
CUGACCUCAAAUCAGGUAGGACUACCCGCUGAACUUAAGCAUAUCAAUAAGCGGAGGAAAAGAAACUAACAAGGAUUCCCCUAGUAACGGCGAGUGAAGCGGGAAGAGCUCAAAUUUGUAAUCUGGCGGUCUCAGGCCGUCCGAGUUGUAGUCUGGAGAAGCGUUUUCCGCGCCGGACCGUGUACAAGUCCCUUGGAACAGGGCGUCGUAGAGGGUGAGAAUCCCGUCUUUGACACGGACUGCCGGUGCUUUGUGAUGCGCUCUCAAAGAGUCGAGUUGUUUGGGAAUGCAGCUCAAAAUGGGUGGUAAAUUCCAUCUAAAGCUAAAUAUUGGCGAAAGACCGAUAGCGAACAAGUACCGUGAGGGAAAGAUGAAAAGCACUUUGGAAAGAGAGUUAAACAGUACGUGAAAUUGUUGAAAGGGAAACGCUUGAAGUCAGUCGCGUCUUCCGGGACUCAGCCUUGCUUUUGCUUGGUGCAUUUCCCGAAUGACGGGCCAGCAUCGAUUUCGAUCGUUGGAGAAAGGCUUUGGGAAUGUGGCACCUUCGGGUGUGUUAUAGCCCUCGGUCGUAUGCAACGGUUGGGAUCGAGGAUCGCAGCACGCCUUUUUGGCCGGGGUUCGCCCACGUAACGU